rnacentral:tRNA from 1 species
GGGGAUUUAGCUUAGUGGUAGAGCGCUUGCCUAGCAAGCGCAAGGCCCUGGGUUCAAUCCCCAGCUCCG